AUCUUGAGCUGGGGUGUCGUCGCAGCCAUUUCUCAUCAGGACCUCUGUUCUGAAGUGCUUGGUGCCAGACCUCUGCCACAUCCCCAGGCUAAAACUUGCUUGUGCUUUGAAGAGAAGUGGUCUUUUUAAGGUCAAUAGCCUUGGGCCAGAAAUGAAUUCUCAAGCAGAGGCCUCAGCAGGUGAUGAGAAAGGCAUGAGAACAGGCUGGAAGGAGAAUGAGGCACCGAGAGGCCCAAGCUGAAAGAAAUAAAGACUUCCAGUACAUCACCCUGACAGUAAAGAGCGAAGGAAAAGUGACGUCUGAGAACUGCAAUGUGCUCUGCUUGAAGAAAAGGAAGUUGGGUUGUGAUAAUAUAAUUCUGGAUUCCAUGGAAUGUUGUGGCUCAUGGAAGAGGCAAGAGAUAAAAGACAGAGAAACAAUAUAGUGGUCAUGCAUUACUAUUGUAACAACUAGUCUUAAAAUAUUAUGUCAAGUUCUCAUCUUAAAGUUGGAUAGUGUGGAAAUAAUGUAUUUCUCAGACUUGAAGUUAAAAACAUCACAACUUCCAUACUUUGGUAAGUAACUGAUGUUGAUUUUUGGUGUAUAUAAACCAACUUUCUGUUGAUAUGUUUUUUAAGAAAAAAUCAUCAGAAAGUAGAUGGCACGUUCCUAAGACAGAACUUAAUCCAUGGUAGAUGCUCAGUAUAUAUGUUAGCUAUUGCUGUUAUUAUUAAUUCUUGAUUGUUAUCAUUCUUCCACCAACUUGCUGCAUGACCUUAUCUCUGGGCCUCAUUUUUUGUGCUUCAACUGCAUAAGAAGUGGAGGAGUCAGACUAAAUAAUAUAUUCUGUGACCCUUUGGCACAGAGUUUCCUCAUCUCCCGCCCUGUUCCACCUGUCUGUUUUAUAGUAGAGGGUAUGCUAUGGAUUACCUAGCAGAUUUCUGGCUGCUCCUCAAGGAGUCCACCCUGAGUUACAAGAGGCUCAAACAUAUCACUGGGUAAUAAAAGGCCCCCUCUAGCUGGGUGUUAUAUUGUGAUCUGUUCUUGAAGUUAAAAUUAAAGAUAUUUUUCACUUAAAAUGAUGAGGAAAGACUUGUAAGGUCAUAUAAUCAAGAAGCUUCUUGACUUUGGGGGCAACAGUGAACCUAUUUUCUUCUAAUGUGAAGGGAAGUGAGGAGGAGGAAGAAGAAAUCUCAAAGUAAGAAAAGUGCUGCAAAAUACUCAGCAGCCCUUUUGGUACAGUUCAGGCUUGCCUACCAGCUUGACUCCUUUCUUCCUAAAAGUUGUAAACUCAGGAAAUUCAUUGAGUGUUCCCCCUCCCCAUGAAAAUUCAUCUGCAUAUUUAUAAUGAAAGUCAUGGAAUUUCAAGUUUUAAGGGUACUGAGAGGCCAUGAGGAACAGUGGUUUUCAUGAUGAAACCCUACAACACAGAGGUAUUCAUGUGAGAAGAUGGAAUAAAUAUUACUGACUUAUUAAAUUAGGUGAAGGAAUUCUGUCACUCAUGGGGGAGCUGGAGUUCAUUUUAUUCCUUAGGGAAAUUACUCUUCUUGAUCCUCUGGAAAGGGAGGGUCCAUCUCUCGCCAGUCUUUCUUGGCCCUUCCCUUAUACAAAGGGCAAGGGUACAAGAAUAUUUCCCAAUGUAUUUAAAAACUACUUUGUCUGCUUCUGUGAUUUUGGAGAGUUGCUUUAGGAUAAGCGUAGAUGAAGGAAUCAUAGUGGCCAUGAGAGUGGGCCAAAGCAAAUGGAAUGUUUCAUUCUUCCUCCAGUUCUGUAGUGAUCUGAUUAUGACUGUUAGUUGAUGUCGCCAUCAAAUUUUAGAAGUCUCUGCCAUAUCUGCCAUGUAAAUUAGACAAAUACCAAUGACCUCAAAUGAACUAAUGAGCAGCUACCAUGCAAUGAGGACUUGUAGCAUUGCAUUAUGUAUUUCAACUGGGCAAAUAAAUUAAAGAGACCAAACAAAACUGCAGUUAAAACAAGGAAAAUUAUUAGGAUUAGGACUGACUGGGGAAAAAUUCAGGUCUUUCUGCUCUUUUCUUCUCCUUCUGUUUCCUUGUCUUAGAUGUUUCUUUCUCCCUUGGCAUAAGGCAGGCGAAAGAUGUUUGUGAAGUUAAAUAAAAUCAUCAGGAUCUUGACAUUUAUGACGAUAAGAACAAGCCCUUCAAUCAGUGAUACUAAACACCGUAAGCACCCAGGCACUCUGUCAUUAAAUGGAGAUGAUUUUCUGCUGCAGUGAGUCAGGAUGCUGGCCACACAUUACUUAAGCAGUAAAGAUAAGGUGUUUCAUUUAAUGUCAAAUCAUCUUUUCUAUCAUUUGCCCUCUGCCUCAAAUUAUUCCAAACACGGGCAGUUGCUCUUCUCAAGUUCUGAGCUUUCUCCAAGCUUUAUCUGAAAGGUAUUUCUUUUUUGUUUGUCUGUUUGCUUUUUAGGGCUAAACCCACAGCAUAUGGAAGUUCCCAGUCUGAGGGCUAAAUCAGAUCUGAAGCUGCCGGCCUAUCUACA